UGCAGCCGGGGAGAUAGCGGUGCCCUGUACCUGCAAUCCGCUACAGCAGGGGUGAUACCGAUCCGAGGCUGUCCGGCUGUGGUGCAGCACUUUGUAAGUGGUGUUGACGUCUGGGUCUUGUGCGGCAGAAACCUGUGAAACGUGUCAGGUUGGGAACAAAGCAGCACUAAGCAGGACCUUCUGGGCGACGCAAGGGCGCCUGGGCUGAGCUAACUGCAAGGAAAGCGGCUGUGGUCGGUAGUCGAAGUGAGGUGCACGG
rnacentral:SRP_RNA from 1 species